AUGCCAUAUGUGCAGCCAAAAAAGAAGGAAAAAAUAAUCCCUUUUGAUGGAGAAAGAUUGGGAAGUGGGGGUGCCAUGAGCCUGGGGCAGGGACUCCAGAGCCCUCUGGGUACCCUCAGGCCGAGUGAUGGUGAGCCCUGGGCUCUUGCUGCUGCUGCUGCUGCUGCUGCUGCCCUGCAUGCUGCCCUUGGCCUCGUUGCACACCUGGAAGACUGGGUGGCAUCAGUUCCACAAGCCAAACGGAUACAUGUGCUCAAGGCACUCAGAGUGCCAGAGCAACUGCUGCAUCACCAACAACUACGGGAAGCUGCUGUUCUGCACGGCCAGGACCAUCUUCUUACAGUGUGUGCCCUGGCGCAAGGUGAGGGCGAGCCCCGGCCUGAGGGGAGCCCCAGGGGCUCUGAUCUGUGUCUGACCUCUGACCUCUGUGUCCCCCAGCCCAACUGGGACUAUUGUACCUACCACAGCGAGUGCCAGAGCAAGUGCUGCCUCAGGCUGAAUGAGGUCAGCAAGCACCGCUGUGUUCCUCAGACGGGGGUCCUGGUCCAGUGCCUGCCUGUGUGA
rnacentral:lncRNA from 1 species